UACGUAGGUGGCAAGCGUUGUCCGGAUUUAUUGGGUUUAAAGGGUGCGUAGGCGGUCUUGUAAGUCAGUGCUGAAAUACUCCAGCUUAACUGGAGGGGUGGCAUUGAUACUGGAAGACUUGAGUGUAGUCGAGGUAGGCGGAAUUGACGGUGUAGCGGUGAAAUGCUUAGAUAUCGUCAAGAACACCGAUAGUGAAGACAGCUUACUAAGCUACAACUGACGCUGAGACACGAAAGUGUGGGGAUCAAACAGG
rnacentral:rRNA from 1 species